rnacentral:rRNA from 1 species
AGAACGAACGCUGGCGGCAGGCCUAAUACAUGCAAGUCGAACGCACUCUUCGGAGUGAGUGGCAGACGGGUGAGUAGCGCGUGGGAACCUUCCCAAUGGUACGGAAUAACUCCGGGAAACCGGUGCUAAUACCGUAUAAGCCCCUCGGGGGAAAGAUUUAUCGCCAUUGGAUGGGCCCGCGUCGGAUUAGCUAGUUGGUAAGGUAAUGGCUUACCAAGGCUACGAUCCGUAGCUGGUCUGAGAGGAUGAUCAGCCACACUGGGACUGAGACACGGCCCAGACUCCUACGGGAGGCAGCAGUAGGGAAUCUUGGACAAUGGGCGAAAGCCUGAUCCAGCCAUGCCGCGUGAGUGAAGAAGGCCUUAGGGUUGUAAAGCUCGUUUUGGCGGGGACGAUAAUGACGGUACCGCAGAAUAAGCCCCGGCUAACUUCGUGCCAGCAGCCGC